rnacentral:rRNA from 1 species
AGAGUUUGAUCAUGGCUCAGAACGUACGCUGGCGGCACGCCUAAUACAUGCAAGUCGAACGAAGUAGCAAUACUUAGUGGCAGACGGGUGAGUAACAUGUAGGUAUCUUCCCAUUGGUGAGGAAUAACACGAGGAAACUUGUGCUAAUACCUCAUAAGUCUUCACGGAGAAAGCUUUAUGCGCCGAUGGAUGAGCCUGCACUUGAUUAGUUUGUUGGUAGGGUAAUGGCCUACCAAGACAAUGAUCAAUAGCUGAUUUGAGAGGAUGAUCAGCCACAUUGGGACUGAGACACGGCCCAAACUCCUACGGGAGGCAGCAGUAGGGAAUCUUGCACAAUGGGGGAAACCCUGAUGCAGCGAUGCCGCGUGAGUGAAGAAGGCCUUUGGGUUGUAAAGCUCUUUCGUCGGGGAAGAAAAUGACUGUACCCGAAUAAGAAGGUCCGGCUAACUUCGUGCCAGCAGCCGCGGUAAUACGAAGGGACCUAGCGUAGUUCGGAAUUACUGGGCUUAAAGAGUUCGUAGGUGGUUAAAAAAGUUGGUGGUGAAAUCCCAGAGCUUAACUCUGGAACUGCCAUCAAAACUUUUUAGCUAGAGUAUGAUAGAGGAAAGCAGAAUUUCUAGUGUAGAGGUGAAAUUCGUAGAUAUUAGAAAGAAUACCAAUUGCGAAGGCAGCUUUCUGGAUCAUUACUGACACUGAGGAACGAAAGCAUGGGUAGCGAAGAGGAUUAGAUACCCUCGUAGUCCAUGCCGUAAACGAUGUGUGUUAGACGUUGGAAAUUUAUUUUCUGUGUCGCAGCGAAAGCAAUAAACACACCGCCUGGGGAGUACGACCGCAAGGUUAAAACUCAAAUGAAUUGACGGGGACCCGCACAAGUAGUGGAGCAUGUGGUUUAAUUCGAAGAUACGCGCAGAACCUUACCAACACUUGACAUGUUCGUCGCGACUUUAAGAGAUUAAAGUUUUCGGUUCGGCCGGACGAAACACAGGUGCUGCAUGGCUGUCGUCAGCUCGUGUCGUGAGAUGUUGGGUUAAGUCCCGCAACGAGCGCAACCCUCACUUUUAGUUGCCAUCAUUUAGUUGGGCACUCUGAAAGAACUGCCAGUGAUAAGCUGGAGGAAGGUGGGGAUGACGUCAAGUCCUCAUGGCCCUUACGUGUUGGGCUACAC